rnacentral:rRNA from 1 species
GGUGAACGCUGACAGAAUGCUUAACACAUGCAAGUCAACUUGAAUUUGGGUUUUUAACUUAGGUUUGGGUGGCGGACGGGCGAGUAACGCGUAAAGAACUUGCCUCACAGCUAGGGACAACAUUUGGAAACGAAUGCUAAUACCUAAUAUUAUGAUAAUAGGGCAUCCUAUAAUUAUGAAAGCUAUAAGCGCUGUGAGAGAGCUUUGCGUCCCAUUAGCUAGUUGGAGAGGUAACGGCUCACCAAGGCGAUGAUGGGUAGCCGGCCUGAGAGGGUGAUCGGCCACAAGGGGACUGAGACACGGCCCUUACUCCUACGGGAGGCAGCAGUGGGGAAUAUUGGACAAUGGACCGAGAGUCUGAUCCAGCAAUUCUGUGUGCACGAUGAAGUUUUUCGGAAUGUAAAGUGCUUUCAGUUGGGAAGAAACAAAUGACGGUACCAACAGAAGAAGUGACGGCUAAAUACGUG